rnacentral:tRNA from 1 species
CGGAGAGAGAGGGAUUCGAACCCUCGAUGACUAGAUUCAGUCAUGACAAUUUUCGAAAUUGUUGCAAUCAACCACUCUGCCACCUCUCC